GACGAACGCUGGCGGCACGCUUAACACAUGCAAGUCGAACGAACUCUUCGGAGUGAGUGGCAGACGGGUUAGUAACACGUGGGAACCUACCCUUUAGUACGGAAUAACGUCGAGAAAUUGUCGCUAAUACCGUAUACGCCCUUCGGGGGAAAGAUUUAUCGCUAAAGGAUGGGCCCGCGGCAGAUUAGUUUGUUGGUGGGGUAAUGGCCUACCAAGACUACGAUCUGUAGCUGGUCUGAGAGGAUGAUCAGCAACACUGGAACUGAGACACGGUCCAGACUCCUACGGGAGGCAGCAGUGGGGAAUAUUGGACAAUGGGCGCAAGCCUGAUCCAGCGAUGCCGCGUGGAUGAUGAAGGCCCUAGGGUUGUAAAGUCCUUUCGAUGGUGAAGAUAAUGACGGUAGCCAUUAAAGAAGCCCCGGCUAAUUUCG
rnacentral:rRNA from 1 species